rnacentral:misc_RNA from 1 species
AGCCCGUUACAUUCAGAACUAGAGCAACAGGCUAAUUUGGAGUUGACUUAUCGUACACCUGUGUUUAGAAACGAUGAGAAAAGUGAAACAAAUAUUUUGGUGGAAAGCAAAAUCGUAGCAGAUAUCCCAAUUCACAAUCGACAGAUUUGUUCACAAACUAGAGAUGAAUCGAAAUUAACUACUGACAAUUUGCUAAACCAUGUUUACAUUGAGAUUUUAAAAGAUAAUAUCGAAAGAACAGGAGUACAUGAAGAUUCUCAGAGUGAAUAUGAAUAGUGUUAAAAAAACUCGUAGAAAUUUCAAUCCACAUACAGACACGAUUUAAACGAGCUUUCGAAUAAGCAGAACACUCUUAGCUUUAUUACUUAAAAAAUAUCAGAUAUGCUUAUCUGUGAUAUUUAGAUCUUAAAGUCCAUAAGGAAAAAGUUUAACUUGUAUAAGUUUUAAUAAAUGAAGAAUAAAAUCUUCCGUGUACUUGUCUUCAUUUUAGAAAAUAAACGUUUGUGACGAUUUGGCAGUUCCUCAAAAGUUCAGUUCAGCUUUGUUUAACUCAUUUCACAAGUGUAGUGAUGCUAGUUGACUAAUGCAUGUGUAUAUAAAUAUUGUUAGAUACUUUUAUGAACGAUUUUGCAUUUUUCUAAGAUUCAGUACAUUGUUAGUUGACUUGAUCCCCUUACUCAAGUUUUAGAAUCAAUGCGAUUUGUAUUAAACUAUGGAAUUUAAAUUAACAUUAUCUUUAAAAAGUUGAAAAGCAACAAAAUUAUGCAAAAUACAUUUUUAAGUAAUAGCUUUGAUUGUAUUUACAAAUGAAUAUUACAAGAGAAGAACGUUAAUUUUUUUUUUGUCAGUAUCAACAAGUUGGAUACAAAAAUUGUUUUUAGACGAUCUUCAGACAUAAAUCUUUAGAUGCAUAUAAAAACAGACUAUUCAAUGUGGUACGGCAAAUUUGUUUAUUUUGAGCUAAAUCUUGUUGAACUAAAUACUCAGUUUCCAUUGCUGUAAUGAGUUUAUAAUAGUAUUUAAAGCCGAUUGAAUGAU